CGGGCACUGCUCUUCGCGUCAUAUGGGGCACGAUUCCGGUGGCCUUACACAUCUCCGAGGGAGCUGGCUCUGUGCGGAUCCUGGUCCGUUUACCUGGCGCCCACCUGUAUUAACAGGUCCUCGGGAAUGAAAACCCCGACGGUUGUCGUGGUCCCGUC
rnacentral:sRNA from 1 species